rnacentral:rRNA from 1 species
ACGCUGGCGGCAGGCUUAACACAUGCAAGUCGAGCGCCCCGCAAGGGGAGCGGCAGACGGGUGAGUAACGCGUGGGAAUCUACCCUUGACUACGGAAUAACGCAGGGAAACUUGUGCUAAUACCGUAUGUGUCCUUCGGGAGAAAGAUUUAUCGGUCAAGGAUGAGCCCGCGUUGGAUUAGCUAGUUGGUGGGGUAAAGGCCUACCAAGGCGACGAUCCAUAGCUGGUCUGAGAGGAUGAUCAGCCACAUUGGGACUGAGACACGGCCCAAACUCCUACGGGAGGCAGCAGUGGGGAAUAUUGGACAAUGGGCGCAAGCCUGAUCCAGCCAUGCCGCGUGAGUGAUGAAGGCCCUAGGGUUGUAAAGCUCUUUCACCGGAGAAGAUAA